rnacentral:rRNA from 1 species
UACGGGGGGUGCAAGCGUUACUCGGAAUCAUUGGGCGUAAAGGGCGCGUAGGCGGCUUGGUAAGUCAGAUGUGAAAGCCCGGGGCUCAACCCCGGAAGUGCAUUUGAUACUGCUUGGCUUGAGUAUGGGAGAGGGAAGUGGAAUUCCUGGUGUAGAGGUGAAAUUCGUAGAUAUCAGGAGGAACACCGGUGGCGAAGGCGACUUCCUGGACCAAUACUGACGCUGAGGCGCGAAGGCGUGGGGAGCAAACAGG